rnacentral:rRNA from 1 species
UGGGGAAUAUUGGACAAUGGGCGAAAGCCUGAUCCAGCCAUGCCGCGUGUGUGAAGAAGGUCUUCGGAUUGUAAAGCACUUUAAGUUGGGAGGAAGGGCAGUUACCUAAUACGUGAUUGUUUUGACGUUACCGACAGAAUAAGCACCGGCUAACUCUGUGCCAGCAGCCGCGGUAAUACAGAGGGUGCAAGCGUUAAUCGGAAUUACUGGGCGUAAAGCGCGCGUAGGUGGUUAGUUAAGUUGGAUGUGAAAUCCCCGGGCUCAACCUGGGAACUGCAUUCAAACUGACUGACUAGAGUAUGGUAGAGGGUGGUGGAAUUUCCAUGUGUAGCGGUGAAAUGCGUAGAUAUAGGAAGGAACACCAGUGGCGAAGGCGACCACCUGGACUGAUACUGACACUGAGUGCGAAAGCGUGGGGAGCAAACAGGAUUAGAUACCCUGGUAGUCCACGCCGUAAACGAUGUCAACUAGCCGUUGGGAG